CCUACGGGAGGCUGCAGUGGGGGAUAUUGCACAAUGGGGGGAACCCUGAUGCAGCGACGCCGCGUGGGUGAAGAAGCGCCUCGGCGCGUAAAGCCCUGUCAGCAGGGAAGAAAAUGACGGUACCUGAAGAAGAAGCCCCGGCUAACUACGUGCCAGCAGGCGCGGUAAUACGAAGGGGGCAAGCGGUAUCCGGAUUUACUGGGUGGAAAGGGGGCGCAGACGGCGAUGCAAGCCAGGAGUGAAAGCCCGGGGCCCAACCCCGGGACUGCUCUUGGAACUGCGUGGCUGGAGUGCAGGAGGGGCAGGCGGAAUUCCUGGUGUAGCGGUGAAAUGCGUAGAUAUCAGGAGGAACACCGGUGGCGAAGGCGGCCUGCUGGACUGCAACUGACGUUGAGGCCCGAAAGCGUGGGGAGCAAACAGGAUUAGAUACCCUUGUAGUC
rnacentral:rRNA from 1 species